rnacentral:rRNA from 1 species
GCCCUAGUAACUGCGAGUGAAGCGGCAACAGCCCAGAUUUGAAAUCCAGCUCUMUUGUGGGAGUUUGAGUUGUAAUCUGUAGAGGAUGUCGCUGGCGGAAAGAUGCUCCUAAGUCCCCUGGAACGGGGUGCCAUAGAGGGUGAGAGCCCCGUACGGAGCUGUCUGAGCUGUCAUUAUGCGGCUCCUUCGACGAGUCGAGUAGUUUGGGAAUGCUGCUMUAAACGGGAGGUAAAUUCCUUCCAWGGCUAAAUAUCGGCCGGAGACCGAUAGCGCACAAGUAGAGUGAUCGAAAGAUGAAAAGUACUUUGAAAAGAGGGUUAAACAGUACGUGAAAUUGUUGAAAGGGAAGCGCCCGCGACUAGACUUGCACCUGASUGAUCGYUCUUACGCCCGUCGUAGAGUCUCCCGGUCAUGGUUUGCAGGCCAGCAUCKGUUUGAGUUGGGGGAUAAGAACAGCGGGAACGUAGCUCAUCUCACGGUGAGUGUUAUAGCCCAUUGURCAGUACUCUAGCUCAGAUCGAGGAACGCGMCUUUGGUACGGAUGCUGGCAUAAUGC